GGGCAUUUGGUUUAGUGGUCUGAUUCUUGCUUCGGGAGCAAGAGUUCCCGAGUUCGAUUCUUAGAAUGGCCC
rnacentral:tRNA from 1 species